UACGAGGGGUGCAAGCGUUGCUCGGAAUUAUUGGGCGUAAAGGGUAGGUAGGUGGUCUCAUUUGUCUGGGGUGAAAUCCUUGAGCUUAACUCAAGAAGUGCCCCAGAAACGGUGAGACUCGAGUACUGGAGAGGGUCGUGGAAUUCCCGGUGUAGCGGUGAAAUGCGUAGAGAUCGGGAGGAACACCAGCGGCGAAGGCGGCGACCUGGACAGUAACUGACACUCAACUACGAAAGCGUGGGGAGCAAACAGGAUUAGAUACCCUGGUAGUCCACGCUGUAAACGAUGAACACUAGGCUUAGUGGGUAUUGACCCCCGCUGAGCCGGAGCUAACGCGAUAAGUGUUCCGCCUGGGAAGUACGGUCGCAAGACUAAA
rnacentral:rRNA from 1 species